rfam:Gossypium arboreum cultivar AKA8401 contig_48378_1, whole genome shotgun sequence.
UUUUAAAAAUUUCCUCCCUUUGUAUUAUUAAAAACUACAUGACUGAUAGAAUAAUCGGUGACACAUGACAUGACACACUACUUUAUGUUGACAUACAAAGACUCGUUUUUAACAGUAAAAAUAGAUGGAAUUUUAAUA